UUCCUUACAAAGCUUUGAUCAUGGCUCUAGNAUUGAACGCUGGCGGCAGGCUUACACACAUGCAGGCCGAGCGGGAUGAGAGGAGCUUGACUCUCCGAGUUCAGCGGCGGACGGGUGAGGUAAUGCCUAGGAAUCUGCCUGGCUAGUGGCGGGACAACGUUUCGAAAGGAACGCUAAUACCGCAUACGUCCUACGGGAGAAAGCAGGGGACCUUCGGGCCUUGCGCUAUCAGAUGAGCCUAGGUCGGAUUAGCUAGUUGGUGAGGUAAUGGCUCACCAAGGCGACGAUCCGUAACUGGUCUGAGAGGAUGAUCAGUCACACUGGAACUGAGACACGGUCCAGACUCCUACGGGAGGCAGCAGUGGGGAAUAUUGGACAAUGGGCGAAAGCCUGAUCCAGCCAUGCCGCGUGUGUGAAGAAGGUCUNUCGGAUUGUAAAGCACUUUAAGUUGGGAGGACGGGUUGCACGUUAAUACCGUGCAAUUUUGACGUUACCGACGGAAUAAAGCACCGGGCUAACUCUGUGCCA
rnacentral:rRNA from 1 species